rnacentral:misc_RNA from 1 species
ACAUUGAUAUAUACUGCAAUGCCGAAGUUCAUCAAGCUUGGUAAAAAAUGACCAGCCAGUUGUUGUAACGUUUACAAGUGUCUUUCACUCUUAUGUACAUGGAAUGGAUAUGGUUAUUCAAAUGUUUAUUUGCUCUUACGUGAAUUGGUGCAGUUCGUGUUCUAAUGUCCAAAUUGAGACAGCAGUAAAUGUAUCAACUGUAGACUGGUCUGGUUGUACAGCUAGAAUUCAGUACAAUAUGACCGUGACAAACUCAGACUCUGUUGUGUUGUACAGAAAUUCAACGUCCUGCUGCUCGGGAAAUCUUACAAUCCACUACAGUCUCGGAAAAGGAACAACACACGCCCUUACAGCGACCAAUUAUAGUUUCUUAAACACUUUAUGGGCAACAGGCGCCGUUAGCAAAUCCCAGAGUAUGACGAACAGGGAAAAUUCUGAGAGGAACGUGACAAAUACUUGCAACUCGUAUUCUAAAAUCACAAUGGCUAUCACUGUUUUGUCAUGUGUUACUAUUGUCAUUCUUUUUUUCUUUGUUAUUGAUAGUCUCAAAAAUUAUUUAUUGAAACAUUAAAAUUACUUUAUUCAGCGCCUAACAUCAACAUGGACUGGUAAAAAGUACACUUAUCGUAAGUGAGGGAAUUGAAGAGUAGCGAGGCUACAAAGUAUUUAAAUAAGUAUAUAUACAGAAGCUUUAUUCGAUACUAGAUUUUUGAUGUUGUCAUGAUGGUAUUUGUUUGUUUUGAACAUAUUCCAUUGCAUAUAUUGGUUUAAAGAAUCUACAAAAGAUUUGAACAAUAGUUCUUGGAACUUACAUGUUCCCACCUUAAAAAUAUAAAUAAUGGAUGACAACCAUGUACACUGAGUAAUUCCAAGAAUGUACUUGCAGUAAAUACUAUAGCUGAUAAUAAAAUAUUAAGUUUUCAGAGAGUAAGAAGUAGUGAAACCACAUAAGCAAUGCAGAUGACCUUUGAAAAGUCAACAAUUUUUUGCAAUUUUUUUUUAAUUACCGAUAUUUUAACUAUUAGUUUCAUAUUCUCGACCAAAAUAGUUAUUCCACAAAUGAUUCAAGGAAAUAGACAUCAAAAUAAACAAACACAAGGAUUUUCAUAAUUUUAAAGAGGGAAAUAGCUUGUAAAUUUUCAAACGUUUUAUAAAAUGUACAAACAGAACAAUUAAUAAAAGUGACAAAAUUC